GGGAAGUGCGUGAGCCUGGAGAGCUGUGUCUCCCAGUUGUGCCCAGGCCAUAAUGCUAGGCCUCCAGGUGGGCUUCCUGGCUUCCAAAAAUGGGCAAGGACACACUCUGGUUCCAGCUGGUUUUUGUGACUUCAAACAGUUACAAGAAAAGAGUGACUUGGGGGCAGUGAUGAUGGCUGCCAUGGCAGUGGUUACUCCAUGUGCCUGGCCCUUUCUGUAUAGUCUCUUGUGAGUGGUAUUGCUCCUGGUUUACAGAGGAGCGACCUGAGACCUAGAGAGGCUGGAUGUGAUGCCUGGUACCACAGCUGCAAAGUGGUACAGAGCCAGAUUUGAACUCAGUCUUCAUGGCUCCAAAGUUCUUUCCUUUCCCAGGAUAUCACACUCUAGACACAGAUGGGGGAAAGGGAAGAGGGUGCAGGGCUGGGAGGUUUCUAGGUCCUGAGGAAGAUUUGCUGGGGGCUCUGGAUAGGAUAGUCCCCUUCAGAGAUUCUGCAAACCUGGCACGUCGUGACAGUAAUGCCCACCUUCUCUCUUUCCCAGACAUGCAAAAGAUGCAACAACUGCAGUCCAUGUACAGCCACUGUAGCUUUCUACUAUUCUAAUAAAGCAGGAGAGAAAUCAGAUGUUUGAUUGGGUGUGUUGGUGGACUCAGAGCUGCUUGAGGUGCCAGUCCUUAUUUCCCCUGUGAAUGCACUGUGCCUUGCCCAGGAGUAUGUGCUCCACGUGUGUGCCAAGCGGAAGGGAGAGGAGAAUGUGUGGGCGAAUGGCUGUCACACGUACCUGUCUGGCUGCCAGAGACAUGUCCUUAAAAGGCAGCCCCAACCCAACACUGCUCUUCCACAUGCCACCUUGUGGGAGGAGCCACGCUUGCCGGUCAGUCUGUUCUGGCCCCAACCCACGCUGAGGCUCAGGGCUGGCCAGCCCUCUCCACUCUGACACUGUGCUCCGGCCACUCGCAGCCCAACGACUGACUUCUGUUCCCCCAACACGCCUUGUUCUUUCACGCUUCCAAGAUUUUCCACAUUCUGCCUCUUCCUCCUAGAAAACCUACCCCCGCCUUUGCCUGGGUAAUCCUUAAUUCUUAAUUUACUUGACCUCUGGAAAGUCUCUUUUGAAAAAAUUAACUAAUUAGGAUAACCAAGGUCUCUAUAGCUUUCUACAGUUCACUAUGUAUUUUGCACAUGCUCUAUCUCAUUUCAUGUGGGGUGGUAACAAAUAACAAAGCAAAACAAAACAGAACCACAAAACCUAAAAACCCAGUAUGUUUAUGAGAUCUGACUU